rnacentral:rRNA from 1 species
GACGAACGCUGGCGGCGUGCUUAACACAUGCAAGUCGAACGGAAAGGCCCUGCUUUUGUGGGGUGCUCGAGUGGCGAACGGGUGAGUAACACGUGAGUAACCUGCCCUUGACUUUGGGAUAACUUCAGGAAACUGGGGCUAAUACCGGAUAGGAGCUCCUGCUGCAUGGUGGGGGUGGGAAAGUUUCGGCGGUUGGGGAUGGACUCGCGGCUUAUCAGCUUGUUGGUGGGGUAGUGGCUUACCAAGGCUUUGACGGGUAGCCGGCCUGAGAGGGUGACCGGCCACAUUGGGACUGCGAUACGGCCCAGACUCCUACGGGAGGCAGCAGUGGGGAAUAUUGCACAAUGGGCGGAAGCCUGAUGCAGCAACGCCGCGUGCGGGAUGACGGCCUGCGGGUUGUAAACCGCUUUCGCCUGUGACGAAGCGUGAGUGACGGUAAUGGGUAAAGAAGCACCGGCUAACUACGUG